rnacentral:rRNA from 2 species
CGACAGCGACCCCAGGUCAGGCGGGAU